rnacentral:sRNA from 1 species
ACACAGGUUGGAGCAGAGAAAGAGGAAACACAGAGGUGCCAAAGGAACAAAAUUGGAGGGAUGAAGACAAGUUCUUGACUCUAUGUUGAAGCCAGUUGAAAAAUGAGGGAGAAUAAAACCAUGAACGAAACAAGAAAGAAACAAAACAGAAGAGGAAUGAAAAAGACAUAAUGAUGUCAUCCAAGCCAACAAGCCAUGCUGAAGUAAAUGAAACCAUACCCAACCCUUACCCACCAAGCAGCUUUAUGGCUCCUGGAUUUCAACAGCCUCUGGGUUCAAUCAACUUAGAAAACCAAGCUCAGGGUGCUCAGCGUGCUCAGCCCUACUGCAUCACAUCUCCGGGAAUCUUUGCUAGCAGUCAACCGGGUCAAGGAAAUAUACAAAUGAUAAAUCCAAGUGUGGGAACAGCAGUAAUGAACUUUAAAGAAGAAGCAAAGGCACUAGGGGUAAGUCUAUUUACUACCAGAAUUUUAAUUUCACAUUUGCAAGGUCUUCUUAUAAGUUAUAGGAGAGUAUCAUCCAAUUGCUAAAAAGUUCUGAACGUUAUUCUGAAAUUAUCUCUUUUAGACAGAAAAAUUUAGUCUGCCUACAGACUUUCCCUUGAGUUCAUUUCAUUUUAGAUCAAGCAAAAAUAUAACAGGACACAGAGGAGCCUCCCUAGCUGGAGAAUUUGGUAAUAUUGACGUGACAGAAACACUGUUACAUCUAGCUUGAUCUCAUUUCUUCAAAGGACUUUUUGGACAAUCUCAAUCCCAUCUCUGGAUUAGUUACAAGUCUGGUUUUUGCAUAAAGGUGAAUUUACAUAACAAUGAACAAUGAUGGCUGCCCCCAGAAAAGGAAACUACAAAUGGGCAGUCUGGGAAAGGCUGAGUGUGAAAGAAUUGGGGGACAUUCCAUCUGCUAUGCCUCUUUCA